ACGAACGCUGGCGGCGCGCCUAACACAUGCAAGUCGAACGGAGAUUACAGGCGGAAGUUUUCGGAUGGAAGCUUGUAAACUUAGUGGCGGACGGGUGAGUAACACGUGAGCAACCUGCCUAUCAGAGGGGGAUAACGAUUGGAAACGAUCGCUAAUACCGCAUGACAUAGCGGAACCGCAUGGUUUUGCUAUCAAAGAUUUUAUCGCUGAUAGAUGGGCUCGCGUCCGAUUAGAUAGUUGGUGGGGUAACGGCCUACCAAGUCGACGAUCGGUAGCCGGACUGAGAGGUCGAACGGCCACAUUGGGACUGAGACACGGCCCAGACUCCUACGGGAGGCAGCAGUGGGGGAUAUUGCACAAUGGGGGAAACCCUGAUGCAGCGACGCCGCGUGAGGGAAGACGGUCCUCUGGAUUGUAAACCUCUGUCUUCGGGGACGAAAGUAGACGGUACCCGAGGAGGAAGCCACGGCUAACUACGUGCCAGCAGCCGCGGUAAUACGUAGGUGGCAAGCGUUGUCCGGAAUUACUGGGUGUAAAGGGAGCGUAGGCGGGCAGGCAAGUCAGGCGUGAAAUAUAUCGGCUCAACCGGUAACGGCGCUUGAAACUGCAGGUCUUGAGUGAAGUAGAGGUUGGCGGAAUUCCUAGUGUAGCGGUGAAAUGCGUAGAUAUUAGGAGGAACACCAGUGGCGAAGGCGGCCAACUGGGCUUUUACUGACGCUGAGGCUCGAAAGUGUGGGGAGCAAACAGGAUUAGAUACCCUGGUAGUCCACACCGUAAACGAUGAUUACUAGGUGUGGGGGGACUGACCCCUUCCGUGCCGGAGUUAACACAAUAAGUAAUCCACCUGGGGAGUACGGCCGCAAGGUUGCAACUCAAAGGAAUUGACGG
rnacentral:rRNA from 1 species